rnacentral:rRNA from 1 species
UACGUAGGGGGCAAGCGUUGUCCGGAUUUAUUGGGCGUAAAGAGCGUGUAGGCGGCCAGGUAGGUCCGUUGUGAAAACUCGAGGCUCAACCUCGAGACGUCGGCGGAAACCCUCUGGCUAGAGUCCGGAAGAGGAGAGUGGAAUUCCUGGUGUAGCGGUGAAAUGCGCAGAUAUCAGGAGGAACACCGGUGGCGAAGGCGGUCUGCUGGGCAGUUGCUGACGCUGAUGCGCGACAGCGUGGGGAGCAAACAGG